GACGAACGCUGGCGGCGUGCCUAAUACAUGCAAGUAGAACGCACAGUUUAUACCGUAGCUUGCUACACCAUACACUGUGAGUUGCGAACGGGUGAGUAACGCGUAGGUAACCUGCCUGGUAGCGGGGGAUAACUAUUGGAAACGAUAGCUAAUACCGCAUAAUAUUGAUUAUUGCAUGAUAAUUGAUUGAAAGAUGCUAUUGCAUCACUACCAGAUGGACCUGCGUUGUAUUUGCUAGUAGGUGAGGUAACGGCUCACCUAGGCGACGAUACAUAGCCGACCGGAGAGGGUGAUCGGCCACACUGGGACUGAGACACGGCCCAGACUCCUACGGGAGGCAGCAGUAGGGAAUCUUCGGCAAUGGACGGAAGUCUGACCGAGCAACGCCGCGUGAGGGAAGAAGGUUUUCGGGUCGUAAAGCUCGGUUGUAAGAGAAGAACGGGUGUGAGAGUGGAAGGUUCACACUGUGACGGUAACUUACCAGAAAGGGACGGCUAACUACGUG
rnacentral:rRNA from 1 species